AAAAACAAAAGUUGAGGGACCAAUUUUGAGGGCCAAACAACAUUUUGCCUAUAAAUAGUUGCCUUCAACACACACCAAAAAGGGGGAAUUUUGAACUUUUGGGGGGAGAAAAAUUGAAAAGGGGAGGGGGGCCGAUUUGAAAAAAGGAAAUAACAAGGAAACCCUAAAUCUUCCUUAGCGCUGUUUCGGCCUGCAGAAGGGCUUCCCUGUAAUUUCAGAUUGUUUUGGGGAUAUUAUUGUAAUUGUAACGUAAUUUUUGUUUAUUUUUUUUGAAUUUGUAUUUUGUAUUGUGGAUGUAAAAAAAAAGGAAAAUAAAAGAAAAGAAAAGAAACAAAAAAAUAUAGGAAAAGUGAAUGUGUGUGUUUGUAUUUGUUUUAUUUUUUAUAUGUAUAUUUUUUUUAUGAUAAAACUGCAAAGAUUAAAGAAGAAUCUAAUAUUUUGAUUGGAUCACGGUCAAGAAUUAUUAACUUAUACGCAAGUUGUAUUUCUAAUACCCGAUGAAAAGACAAAAAUUUUAAAACUUCUUUAACACGUCAAAGUCACGAAGCAGCUUACCUCAGGUAGGGUGCGUUAGGGGUGCUAAUACCUUCCCUAACCACAACCAGUCCCUUACCCGCGAAUCUCUGACAAGACCAGUACAUCCGGUUUCCUAGUAGCCUUCAAUAAAUUACUAGGUGGCGACUCCAACGAACCAAUCAAAGCAAUCAACAUAAAGAAAAAAAUCGCCAGCCGAUGCCGCGCGGAUUUGACGUGCGACAGAAUGGCGACUCCACUGGGUAAGGUAUUGUUUUCGACAUUAUUGGACUAAGUUUUGUGUAUUUGAUGUGUUUUUGUUUUUGCAUUUUUGUCUUAUUUUAUUUUUGUUUUAUCCAUGCAUUUUGUAGAAUUGUCUCAUGCAUCACAUAUUGUAAUUUUUUAAAGCACACACAAGCUUCAGGUUAGGUGGGGGACUAGUAGCUUACCUUACGACUUUUAGUCAAGGUUUAAGUUUGUGUAAACCCCAACUCUUCGUUGAGUGCUUAGACUGGUAACAGUUGGUACACAUGUCAUCUCAUUGCCUACUGGGCCCCUAUAUUGCCUUCAAGAGGGUGAUCACUAGGACAACGAGAGACCCUUUUGAGACCAGGUAGAAAACCUACCCAUGUUCACAUAAUGAAUAGAACAUGUCCUUAGAUUGUAUGUGCUAUCUUUAUUUACAUCAGGGCAAACCCUUCUUGAAGCAUCUUGAACUCAAGACUUGUGGGUGACACAAUGACCGUCACUCAGAAAAUUUUCAUUGUAGAGUUUGGGCAAGAAUCAAGAUUCUUGUUUCAUCAUGCAAGAGUUACGAUCAUAUGUCACCCCUCGAAGGGCAAGUUCAUCAUAUAGAUUGCAUGUUCAUACAUUUAUCAUGCAUGUAUCGGGAUGAAAAAUAGGUUCCCCUAUCCGAGGUUUACUACACUGGAUGGAAAAAGAUGGAUAAUAAAGAAAGGGGUCAGAGAGAGGCACUGUGUCAAAAGGAAGUUGAGAGCAUCAAAGGUGAAGUAGCUAGACUCAGAUCUGUUUGAACAAGUGUUAAGCAUUAAAUGGAAAGGGAAUGUCUGCACAGUCUUUUAUGGGAACACUGCUUGUCCACGUCCAAUUGAAGCUGCACCUCUCCUCUUCAGCCAUGAACUACAGCAGCAAUGCCUUCAGUCAUCAACUAAGGACAACCCUUGUUCUUAUUCAGUUGCACUGUUAAUUGUUCAUCGCCUCCACAUCUUCUAAUGGCACCAAUAGCUGUUAGCCUUCUGUGCAUGGUGCAUUAGUCUUCUUUGAAAUUACCCCCACUUUGAGCUCAAUUCCAGUUCAGCGACAUAGGAUGCUGGUCUUAAAAAAAAAACCAUGAUUAUACAUUGAACUUCUAUGUGGCAGAGCUUUCUCUGUAAGGAUUUGUUUUUUAAUCUGCCAGUGGAGAAUGCAAGAGAGGAUGUAGUAGUUUCAUAUGCAUUGAAACUUUCUCCCACCAAUGGCACCAGUAAAACAUUGUAGUAGGCAGAAGAGCCGGACCCGGUCUGAAAAACAUGAGCAGACAUCAAACUUCAACGUGGCAGAGCUCUCUCGACAGAAAUCUGUUUGUGAAUCUGCAAGUGGGAAAUCCAAGAAAGGAUGUGGUAGUUUCAGAUCAUCUAUAAUCUUCUCCCACCAGUGUCAGCAUUGAAAUACAGAAGUAGGGAGAAAAGACAAACCUGGACUAAACAACAUGAAGAAGACUGAAACUUUAACAGAACUCCCUUUACAGGGGGCUAUUUGCUGCACCGUUAGUGAGGAAUCAAAGAGGAAAUAGAAGAGUUUUCAAUUCAUCAGGUUCUCUUCUAGUUUGGACAAUGUGUGAUUCCCCACAUUUUUUUGUUUUUGUGCGCUGCCAGGAUUACCUAGCUAUUGAGAGGUUUCCAGCAAUCCUAAAACAAUAACAACAACAAAAACAACAACAACAACAACAUUGAAAGAUUGACAUGAAGUUGGGUGGAUUGCCAAAAAUAUUGAACAAGUUAUCAAGAUGAGAAAGAUUGAAGGUUCUGCCAUGUAUUCCAAAAAUGAUGAGAGAUGAAUCAGAAGAUGACUUUAAAGGUGGGAAACCUUAGUUAUGAGGUCCAGUCAGAUCUCGCUCAAGCAUCAACUACUCCAAUGUCUUUGCCAAAGAUAGACAUUUCCUUUGCAAUGUGAGUUUAUUUACCAGCAUCUGCCAGAUUCCAGACUUAGUGCCCCGACUCCAUCAAAUCCCAUGCAAUCACUAUUUUCCUAGGUGAUAUAAUCCAAACAUGAGAUUUGAAUAUCAUGGGGGGGAUUUCAGGCUAUUCAGUUGAACAAUUGCAAGAAUCGAGUCCGGAAGUUGGUGGGCAAGAGACGACUAGAUUCUGUGAAGGAGGGUGUCAUUGGCUAUAUUGUCCCCCGAACAUCUUUAGAAUGAAAUGUGAUCGAAAAUGCUUGGCAAAACACAGAUAUUGCAAGAAAAGCUUAUUCAAGAAUGGCGAUGAAUUGUCAAUCAUAUUGUUAUGGAAUUUUGCAUUUUGUUUUGGGAUCAGAUCUCAUCCUUUAACGAAACAUGUCUUGUUUUUGUCUCUUUGUUGUUUUGAAAUCAACAGAUGUUUAGCAUUUUAUUCUGACAAAAUAUUUUGAUCAAACUCCAACAUGUGAGAAAGGUUAAUCAAUCCUAAAGAUUAAAAGUGUUUUGAUUACAGAAAUGACUCGAUGCUUGAAAAAACAAGAGGUGACCGAACAAAUUUUGAGCUCACACACAAAAUUGAACCAUACAUCAUAUAGCUAAGUUUUAGUAGUAUGCAUAAUGACAUGUAGUGGAUUCGAUAGUUAUGGACUCGUGAAUCAUGAUUCUUACAAGUCCCAAUUAUUACACUGGAUGAGGUCAAAAAUUAUCGGUUUUAACCGACCCUGCUUGAAAUGAGAAAAGGCCAUUUUUGUUAUCCCUUCACUUUCUAAAGAUUAUAUCCCUUGUAGUCCCAUUUUGAGCUGGAUAGAAUAUUCUUUCCAUAAAAACCCUGACUAGGAUCGCACCCCACACUGGGGGCAAAUGAGAGAUAUUUUGAAGACAUUGAUAUAAUUAAUGGAUAAAGGAGAAGGCUUAGAACAAAAGUCCAAUGAUUGAGAGAGGGUUGAAAGAAAACACAUAGACUGGGGGCAUAUAAGAAAAUUUUGAGGAAGGCUAUGAGAAAGCAAAAAAAAAAAAAAAAAAGAAAAAAAAAGAAAAAAAAAAGAUUGGAAAGAAUAAGAAGUUGAAAUUGCCUUCACUUGAAGACAAGUCAAAGAUAAAGGAAGGAGAACGCCUAUCAAGUCUAUGAAGAGCAAAAUAAAUUUCAAUCAAGGAAAGGCACAACAAAAGUCAAUAGCAGAAAAAAGACUAAGUUAUAAACGUGACUUUUGGUAUCCAUUAUAAAGCCUCUGAUGUUAUCAGAUAAUUAAGGUUGGUUAUUCAUCAAGGAAAGUUGGAUUUGCAUUAUGACUUAUGUUAAGAAAAUUCUGAUCUUUGAUAUUAACAAGGUUAUAUGUCACUUUCUCUACAAUGACAACAAGAGAAAGACAGUUGAUGAAUAGUUGAUGUUGAUCCUAGGUCUUUGAAACACUCGAACACCUUUUGAGCCUGUGAAUUUCCUUUCUUUCAUAAGCCAUGAACCAUAGUCUGCAUUACGUGCUUUUAAAAGCCCUUUUUAAUCAAGUAAGCAAGCUGAAGCGAUAAAUGGCGAUCUCAAAACUUGAAGAGUUUUUCAUAAGAGUCGUGGCUUCAUAGAUUAAGCUACUUGUUAUUAUAUAUGCUGAUAAAAUUGUUGCUAAAAAAAAAAGAAAACAAUCUUUCCUGAUGAAUCCUCAAGUUUUGACUUGAGCCUUUUGUUUUCCUUGAAAUUUACAGAAGGUCAUCUCAUCAUAGACCAUCAAAAAAGAUAUACCCAAGAUCAAAGAUUAAAACUGACACAAAGAACCAUGAAAAAAAAAGGAAAAGAAAAAGCCAUUUUAGUCUUACAACGGGUCAAUUUCUGUUUACAAAAUACAUGACAAUCAAAGGACUGUAUAUUUCGAAUAACGCGUGUUGGGUCUUUGAUCAAAAAGCUUGAUUUUCAAAAGGUCUUUUCAAAAAAGGACAUCUCUGAUUUCAUUUCAACAACUAGAUUUGAAUAGACAAGAUCUUUGAAAUAUGAGAGUUGAUUCCAAAACAAGGAAGAUUAUCAGACACAAAAGAACAUCGAUUGAGUCUGCGAAAUCCUUGAUAGAAAUGACAUUGAAGUCCUCGACACUCCUUGAAAAUUUGAGCAGCUGGGGGCAAUACAGUGGACCCUGAAAAGGAAAAAACAAGUAGUAUUCAGAUCAGCUAUGAGGCAAUGAAAGAUGAUUAAAUGAUGAGUCAGUGAACUGAAGACAAUGGUGUUCAAAGAAAGAUAAUCAGAUGAACAAGCAAACUCAGAUCAUAUUGGGGGCAAUGUUGGUCAAAGACAAUCCCAUCAGCAAUUGAUGAGCAGCGUUGCACUUAAAGGAUAUCUUCAUAUCUUCAUCUUGGUUUAUCAUCUCCAACAUGGCUACGACUUUUGAACGACGUUAUCACAUAGUCACAUUUGAAUGAAGUUGGAAGGAUGCACCCACCAAGACUGACUAUGGUACCUGUUGCUACCCAAUUUUUAACCCAUGUUUUGAUAAUUUUUCAGAAAAAACCAAAAAUAGCAAAAAAACAAUGAAAACCCAAAAAAAUGCAUUUUUGAUAUAUUUGCAUCGUUUUUAGCAUUUUCAACGUCAUCUCAAAAGAAUUUAAAUUUUCAAAGGUAUUUGGAACGCGUUCAACUUUUAACGUGUAAAUUUUAUGAUCACUGAUUUUCCUUGUUGAGUUGACGUUGAUAUUGCUCGCUUUCAAAAAUACAAAAAAAUAAGAAAAAUCAAAAUUUACAAAAAAAGAGGAAAAGAGAAGGAAAGGAAAAGUUGAGGGACUAGUUUGAAAACCUAGCAAAACUUUUCCUAUAAAUACCAUGCUACACUGAAUUUUUAAAAGGGGGGAAAUUUUGCAAUUAAAGGGGGCAGGGAACACAAAAACAAGAAACCCUAAAAGCUUAACAUUUUUUCUUCUCCCUCACCCUAGGCAGCCGCCGAAGCCCCCCUCUCCAUCUCAUUGUCUUCUCCCUCAACCGGAGCCGCCACCCCCCCUCUUGAUCAGAUUUUUCUCUUCUUCUCGCCAGCCUAGAGCUUGGCUCUUUGGACUGCACACAAGCCUCCCCUUCUCAGCCACCUCGUCUUUCCCUCUCCAGGCGGCUCAACUUUUCCCCCCAUUUCCUCUCAUCACCGUCCCAGCUGUUCCCUUCCAGCACAAGACUUUCCCUCUCUGGCAACACAGACAGAGACUGGCUUCUGCACCUCCCCACAGCAGCCGGCCACUACAUUUCUCUCAGCCGUUUGUCGCCGCCAGCAGCAGCAGCGUUGUCCUCACCAGUGAGCCACCAGCCCCCACACGGCAACGCCGGGGCACCACUCUUCUUCAUCUUCUGCAUGCUAAUAAAAUUGGUGCUAAAAAAAAGAAAACAAUCUUUCUUGAUGAAUCCUCAAGUUUUGACUUGAGCCUUUUGUUUCUUGAAAUCCACAGAAGGUUACCUCAUCGCAGGCCAUCAAAAGAUAUACCUAAGAUCAAAGAUUAAAACUGACACAAAGAACCACGAAAAAAGUCAUUUUAAUCUUACAACGGGUUAUUUCUGUCUUCAAAAUACAAGACAAUUAAAGGACUUCAUUGAAUGGCGUGUGUUGGAUCUUUGACCAAACAAGCUUGAUUUCUAAAAAUACUUUUCAAAAUUGACAUCUCUCUGAUUUCAUUUCAACAAUUAGACUUGAUUAGACAUGACCGUUGAAAUAUGAGAUUUGAUUCCAGAACAAGAAAGAUUGUCAAAUAAGAACAUCGAGCGAAUUUGCAAAAUCCUUGACAAGAAUGACAUCAACAUUUCUCGACACUCCUUGAAAAGUUGACCACCUGGGGGCAAUACAGUGGAUCCUGGGUAGGAAAACAAACAAUAUUCAGAUCAGCUGGGGGCAAUCAAAGAUGAUCAAAUGAUGAGUCAAUGCACUGAGGACAAUAGUGUUUAAAGAAAGCUAGUCAGCAGGACAAGCAUUCAGAUCAUUACUGGGGGCAAUGUUGUUCAAAGACAGUCAGUGAUUUAGUAAACUUCAGCAGCAAUUGAUGAGUAACGCUACAAUUGAAGGGCAUAUUAUUAUCGUCAGCUUGGGUUACCCUCUAAAACGUGGCUAUGACUUCUGACAUAUGUUAUCAAGUGAGUGCAUUUGAAUGAACAUCGAACAUAUGCAUACCACCAAGAGUGACUGUGGGACCAUCUAUUCUGAAGCUCAAAUGCGCACUUCACCGCAUGAAUAUGGGUGAUGAACAUCAUUGAUGAUGCCAAUGCAUUUCCUUUCAUGAUCUGAUUUGACAAGCUGAGAGGAAUCCGUGGAGAAGAACAUUGAGCUUACAACGAUGAGCCUUUUACUGCAAGGUAUGAGAUGUAUGUCUGGACGACUAGAUGAUUUCCAUGAAGACUGGUGAUAACAUAUACUUGAAGAGUAUUGUUUCAACUUGAGGCAAGUUUAUGACUGGUUGACAAUCUUGAUGGGUGUUGGCAUGAGGCACACAAUCAAUCAGAGGGUAAUUCUUAGAAGAAUCCAAAAGAGAAAAUUCUUCAUGAUAAAUCAAGCAACACCACACUUGGGGGCAUGGUUAAGCUUGAUAAACAGCGAGAGCAGUAAUCGUCGUGGACAGCCCAGGAUGGGCACUGCACUUACAGCUGAGUGGAUGGCUAGCACAUGAAUGAGCCAAUGCAUCGAAAGAACAAAUAAAGCUUUGGAAUGCAAACAAAGGCACCCUAUGACGAUGGAUCAUCAAAGGGGGGGACCUAUAUUUCACAUCAGGUAAGGAUGCAUGCAUGUCAUCUAACCUCAAAGCAUUGCACCUACUUGUGAUUUGUUACAGAAAGAUUCUCAAUGAAGUCCAGCAAGAUUGUGGACAAAGAAAGAAUCAUUGAGUUGAGGAUGACAAAGAAUCGGUUUAGAUACUGGAACGAGAAGAGAAUGAGAUGAACCCUGCCAGUUGGAGAAUCUCAAAGAAACGAGGAGAUUAACCCCAUCAUCAAGAGGAGUCUUCAAGUCAACCUGCAACCAGAAGGUGCCAAGUUUGUCAGCCUUGUCCUGUCAGGACUGCUCCAACCAAGUCUUUUUGCCAGGUAAGUCACAUUUUAUCUUUAGGUAGGUCACCCGUAACAAUGAGACCAUUUUUUUUAAAAAAAAAAACAUCAUUUUUUCUGGGUAGGUCACCCAUCAGAAUGAGACCACCAUCUUCCACCUGGGUAGGUCACCCAUUAUAACGCGACCACUUCACAUUUUUUCUAUCUUCCACUUGGGUGGGUUGCCCAUUAUAAUGAGACCACCUUUCAUCAUUUUUCUGGGUAGGUCACCCAUCAUAAUAAGACCAUCAUUUUUUUCUGGGUAGGUCACCCAUUAUAAUGAGACCGCACUUCACAUUCUUUCCAUUUGGGUAGGUCACCCAUAACAAUGAGACCACUUCAUAUUUUUUCUAUCUUCCAUCUGGGUAGGUCGCCCAUUAUAAUGAGACCGCAGUUCACAUUCUUUCCAUUGGGGUAGGUCACCCAUCAUAAUGAGACCGUUUUUCACAUUCUUUCCACCUGGGUAGUUCACCCAUUACAAUGAGACCAUUUUGUUACACAUAUUCUUUGUUUUGGUUUAAUGAGGUCGCUAGAUGGGAUCUCAUGUAGCUUUGGUUAAAGGAAAUCGCCAGAUGAGAUUUCAGGUUGACCGAGUUACGCACAUUUUUUAGUUUUGAUUUAAUGAGGUCGCCAGAUGGGAUCUCAUGUAGCUUUGGUUAAAGGGAAUCGCCAGAUGGGAUUUCAGGUUGACCGAGUUACACUUUUCUUUGUUUUAAUGAGGUCGCCAGAUGGGAUCUCAUGUAGCUUUGGUUAAAGGAAAUCGCCAGAUGGGAUUUCAGGUUGACCGAGUUACACACUUUUUUUGUUAGUUUUGACUGAAUGAGGUCGCCAGAUGGGAUCUCAUGUAGCUUUGGUUAAAGGAAAUCGCCAGAUGGGAUUUCAGGUUGACCGAGUUACGCACUUUUCUUUGUUUUGGUUUAAUGAGGUCGCCAGAUGGGAUCUCAUGUAGCUUUGGUUAAAGGAAAUCGCCAGAUGGGAUUUCAGGUUGACCGAGUUACACACUUUUCUUUGUUUUGGUUUAAUGAGGUUGCCAGAUGGGAUCUCAUGUAGCUUUAGUUAAAGGAAAUCGCCAGAUGGGAUUUCAGGUUGACCGAGUUACGCACUUUUCUUUGUUUUGGUUUAAUGAGGUCGCCAGAUGGGAUCUCAUGUAGCUUUGGUUAAAGGAAAUCGCCAGAUGGGAUUUCAGGUUGACCGAGUUACGCACUUUUCUUUGUUUUGGUUUAAUGAGGUCGCCAGAUGGGAUCUCAUGUAGCUUUGGUUAAAGGAAAUCGCCAGAUGGGAUUUCAGGUUGACCGAGUUACGCACUUUUCUUUGUUUUGGUUUAAUGAGGUCGCCAGAUGGGAUCUCAUGUAGCUUUGGUUAAAGGAAAUCGCCAGAUGGGAUUUCAGGUUGACCGAGUUACGCACUUUUCUUUGUUUUGGUUUAAUGAGGUCGCCAGAUGGGAUCUCAUGUAGCUUUGGUUAAAGGAAAUCGCCAGAUGGGAUUUCAGGUUGACCGAGUUACGCACUUUUUUUUUUAGUUUUGACUGAAUGAGGUCGCCAGAUGGGAUCUCAUGUAGCUUUGGUUAAAGGAAAUCGCCAGAUGGGAUUUCAGGUUGACCGAGUUACGCACUUUUCUUUGUUUUGGUUUAAUGAGGUCGCCAGAUGGGAUCUCAUGUAGCUUUGGUUAAAGGAAAUCGCCAGAUGGGAUUUCAGGUUGACCGAGUUACGCACUUUUCUUUGUUUUGGUUUAAUGAGGUCGCCAGAUGGGAUCUCAUGUAGCUUUGGUUAAAGGAAAUCGCCAGAUGGGAUUUCAGGUUGACCGAGUUACGCACUUUUCUUUGUUUUGAUUCAAUAAGGUCGCCAGAUGGGAUCUCAUGUAGCUUUGGUUAAAGGAAAUCGCCAGAUGGGAUUUCAGGUUGACCGAGUUAUGCACUUUUCUUUGUUUUGGUUUAAUGAGGUCGCCAGAUGGGAUCUCAUGUAGCUUUGGUUAAAGGAAAUCGCCAGAUGGGAUUUCAGGUUGACCAAGCUAAACACAUUUUUUUAGUUCCAGUUUAACGAGGUCGCCAGAUGGGAUCUCAUGUGGCUUUGGUUAAAGGGAAUCGCCAGAUGGGAUUUCAGGUUGACCGAGCUCCACAUUUGUUUUUAGUUCCAGUUGAAUGAGGUCGCCAGAUGGGAUCUCAUGUAGCUUUGGUUAAAGGGAAUCGCCAGAUGGGAUUUCAGGUUGACCAAGCUACACACAUUUUUUAGUUCCAGUUUAAUGAGGUCGCCAGAUGGGAUCUCAUGUAGCUUUGGUUAAAGGAAAUCGCUAGAUGGGAUUUCAGGUUGACCGAGUUACACACUUUUUUUUUUAGUUUUGACUGAAUGAGGUCGCCAGAUGGGAUCUCAUGUAGCUUUGGUUAAAGGAAAUCGCCAGAUGGGAUUUCAGGUUGACCGAGUUACGCACAUUUUUUAGUUUUGAUUUAAUGAGGUCGCCAGAUGGGAUCUCAUGUAGCUUUGGUUAAAGGGAAUCGCCAGAUGGGAUUUCAGGUUGACCGAGCUACACACAUUUUUUUAGUUUCAGUUGAAUGAGGUCGCCAGAUGGGAUCUCAUGUGGCUUUGGUUAAAGGGAAUCGCCAGAUGGGAUUUCAGGUUGACCGAGCUACACACAUUUUUUUAGUUCCAGUUGAAUGAGGUCGCCAGAUGGGAUCUCAUGUGGCUUUGGUUAAAGGGAAUCUCCAUAUGGGAUUUUAGGUUGACCGAGCUACACACAUUCUUUGGUUUUGGGAAAGGAGAUCGCCAGAUGGGAUCUCAAGAUAACAAAAAAAAAAAGGAGAGAGAAAGAAAGAAAGAAAUAAAGAAGAGGAAGAAAAGAGAAGGAAGAGAGAACAGAGAAAAAGAGCAAGGUCUUUAGAUGAAUGGAUAUUGAGCAAGUUAAGCAGACAGAAAGACAAGUUUUUCUUUACAAAGCUUACUAUGCAAAACAUUGAGGAGUUUGGCUUCGUAAGCAUUGUAAAGAGGGGGCAGCUGUUGCUACCCAAUUUUUGACCCAUGUUUUGAUAAUUUUUCAGAAAAAACCAAAAAUAGCAAAAAAACAAUGAAAACCCAAAAAAAUGCAUUUUUGAUAUAUUUGCAUCGUUUUUAGCAUUUUCAACGUCAUCUCAAAAGAAUUUAAAUUUUCAAAGGUAUUUGGAACGCGUUCAACUUUUAACGCGUAAAUUUUAUGAUCACUGAUUUUCCUUGUUGAGUUGACGUUGAUAUUGCUCGCUUUCAAAAAUACAAAAAAAAUAAGAAAAAUCAAAAUUUACAAAAAAAGAGGAAAAGAGAAGGAAAGGAAAAGUUGAGGGACUAGUUUGAAAACCUAGCAAAACUUUUCCUAUAAAUACCAUGCUACACUGAAUUUUUAAAAGGGGGGCAAUUUUGCAAUUAAAGGGGGCAGGGAACACAAAAACAAGAAACCCUAAAAGCUUAACAUUUUUUCUUCUCCCUCACCCUAGGCAGCCGCCGAAGCCCCCCUCUCCAUCUCACUGUCUUCUCCCUCAACCGGAGCCGCCACCCCCCCUCUUGAUCAGAUUUUUCUCUUCUUCUCGCCAGCCUAGAGCUUGGCUCUUUGGACUGCACACAAGCCUCCCCUUCUCAGCCACCUCGUCUUUCCCUCUCCAGCCGGCUCAACCUUUCCCCCCAUUUCCUCUCAUCACCGUCCCAGCUGUUCCCUUCCAGCACAAGACUUUCCCUCUCUAGCAACACAGACAGAGACCGGCUUCUGCACCUCCCCACAGCAGCCGGCCACUACAUUUCUCUCAGCCGUUUGUCGUCGCCAGCAGCAGCAGCGCUGUCCUCACCAGUGAGCCACCAGCCCCCACACGGCAACGCCGGGGCACCACUCUUCUUCAUCUUCUGCAACUGGCCUCCUGCCCGCCUUCUCCCUCCGGCAGCGCCCGCAGACCCAGCAGUCUCCAGCGACAGCCCCCAUACGGCGGCGCCCACAGAAUCCAGCCGCUGCUCACCUUCCUCCAGCCGCUCACAGAGACGCCCUGACCUCAGAGCCGUCCGCCACCUGCAGAAGGGAAGAACAGAAAACCAAAAGGAGAAGACAAGAGAGAGUAGAUAAAAAAAAAGGGGAAAAAGAAUUGGAAGCUUUGCAUGUGUGUUUUUCCCUUUGCAGGUAACGGUGGUUCUCACAGCCAGCAGAGAAGGGAAGGGAAGAAGAAAGCAGGGCAGAUCUGCCCAUUUCCGGUCAUUGUCAGUAGCGGCGCGUGUACCCACGCGCCGCAGUGGCGACGACGCGUGGGGAGACGCGCCGCUACUGUUCAGCCAGUUCCAUAAGUCUGUCUGACACUGUUCUGUUGGUGGAGAAGGCUAUCCCUGUAAUUUUAGAUUGUUUUGGGGCUAAUUUUUGUAAUGUAAAAAUUGUUUAAUGUAUUUUUUUGUUUAGUUGACUUUUUAUAAUUUGUAUUGUUGAUGUAACAAAAAAAAGAAAAAGAAAGAAAAAGAAAAGGAAAAGAAAGAAAAGAAAAGUAUAGUGAAAAGGAAAUGUGUGAUUUGUAUUUUGUUUAUGAAUGUUUUUUUUUGUAUGAUAAAAUUGUAAGAAUAAAGAAGAAUUUAAUAUUUUGAUUUGAUCACGGAUAAAGAAUUAUGAACUUACACGUAAGUCGUAUUUCUAAAAUUCGAUGAAAGAAC
rnacentral:lncRNA from 1 species